CCCAAAGAAAAAAACAAAUGUUACCCAAUAGGCAAACAAUGCUGAGAGUUCACUUCCUCUAACUCUGUAGUUAAGUUACUCACUCAGUAUAACAUCACCCUCCUGCCAGGGGUUGAAGUCAGGAAGUAGUUUAUUUUCGCUGAAACUGAAGGGGGAAGUUAAAGAGAAAAAUAGCUGCAACUUGGUCAAUUCAGGAAAACCAGGUACGAAAAAAGAGGAGCAAGUUAAAGGGAAAGCCAGCUCGGAUUUGCUCACCAGUAAAAGGCAAAAAUCCCAGUGUUAUUCAUCUGCAUUUGGUGUGAAAGACAAAAGCUCAACUGGGAUCUGAGGCUUUCUGUGUCAGAGGGCAAGGAGUCAAUGGGGUUAUGAGGAAGUAAGACCACUUGAGACAUCAAAGAAAAGUAGAUCAAAUCACUAGACUCCUCCAAACAGGAGUGGGUGAAGACAAAAAGUGGAGAGAAUCCAGAGGGAAGAGAGGAGUAGGGAAAAUGGUGGAAAGGGAAGGUUUUUGAGAUGGAAGGCAGAGAAUGGGAACAAAAGAAGAAAAAGCUGUUUGUUUCAAAUCAAUAUUCUCCAAGAGGAUGUCUUGUUUCCCCAGGGAUAUUCUGAGGGACUCACAGGAUCAGAGCUGCGACACUUCUAACAUAUGAAUUCUCUCAAUUCUGAUGCCCUUUGACCUCUGCCACACAAUGCCAAGACAAACCCAGACCCCAGGCCCUGGAAACAGAGGAGGGGCAGGACGUGAUAGAGCUUCAGCAACAUGGAGAGGAGAUAGCCGGUCUGGCUAGGAUGGAAGAAAUGUACAUGGAGAAGAAAGACAGAAGAACCAUCACUGAGCACUAAACUAAUCAGCCAUAAUGUGCAGAUUGACUGGCAAGCCUAUCACCACCUUGAUAACAGAUGACAUUAAAGAGAAAGUAUCAAUGUGAGGAUUAAAUGGGAUGAAAAAUAAAACAUCUGUCGGAGUGCCUGGAAUAUGGUAGGUUCCAAAUAAAACCUUUUUGAAUCUGAGUGUAAACUUUUAACAAAAUCUGAUUUUCUUUUUCCCAAAUAUUGUAAUUACCAAGGAUUUUUUUCUAGAAAAUUUAUGUCCAUAUUUCCUUUAAGGGUUCCUUUAGAAACAUUCCCUUACUUUCAAUGUCUAUUUUUAAAAAUUAUAUAGCUCUCUAUUAAAAUAUUAGGCUGGGCAUGGUGGUUCAUGCCUGUAAUCACAACACUUUGGGAGGCUGAGGUGGAAGAAUUGCCUGAGCCCAGAGGUCCAAGGUUACAGUGAGCUAUGAUUGCACCUCUGCACUCCAGCCUGGGUGACACAGUGAGACCCUGUCUCUAAGAUAUAUGAAUUUUUAAUAUACAGGGAUUUUUUUGUUACUGUAAGAUUCUGUAACCAUGGGGAUUUAAGGUUGCAUACUCUACCCCAUUACCUAUAUAUUCACAAUCCAGAAAAUUGAAGUUCAAGAGCAUGCUGGCUUUGGGAUUCCUAGGGAGGGAGGAAGAGCAAUGAAAAGGUGGAAGAGAAUUCAUUCCAGAUGUCCACAAAUUCCAAAUACUACCCACGAUGGCCUUUGUAGAAAUGUCUUUCUUUCACUUGGUAGUGAACAGCUUUUUCAAUAUGAACUAUUAAAUGUAGAAUUCUUGCCAGCUUUAGUUUCACCAAAUUAAGAAUGUUCCUUUCACAGAGGUAUGCUUCUAAAUCUUGGUUAACAUAAAGAUAGUACUUUGGUCAGUGACAGGGACUUUUAAUUACUAUAAUCAAUGUCUGUAGAUUAUAAAUUUCUAAACCAUAGAAUAUUAGGGUUUUAAAAAAUGGGAAAACAUCAACACAACAUUCUCAUUUGUCAGAAUGAGGAAAUGGAGACCUAGAAUAAUUUACCACCUUGUCAGAUAUCUAAUGGCACUUUCAAUUCUAACAUUUAUGUCUAUUGACUAGUUUCUAAGGAUCAUUUUAACUGCACCAUUCUCCCAUAAAUGUGGUUACUUGAAAAGUUAGCUCUACUCUCUGUACUAUACCCUUACAAAUAACUACAUGAAAAAUAGGGCUUUGUCCUUUUAUCAAAAUGACACCAUUAAAUAAUUAAAUGGGAUUCUGGUUUUAUACAUGAUCACAGAGACAAGUGAAACCAAAAAGAAAAUAGAGAAACAGUAAGAAAUACUUAGAGCCAGGAUGAAGAAAACCUAGUUUGCAUGGAUGUUAUGUUUUAGUGUAAGAUAAAAACUUGAAUCUAUAGUAGAGAAGGUCACUCCUCAUAGUCACCCUGGGAAUGCGGAAAGGGAAGAGUGAAAGUGGUGUUUGGUGGAAAACGUAAAAACAACCCCCUUUCCUACUAACAAACAAAACAGCUCAGAUCUCUUUUCAUGUUUGCCUGCUUGGGAAUAUUUCAGCUACUUACUCUGAAUCUGGUAUACCUAGCCAAUGUCCACACUACAAAUUGAGAGUCAGAAAUAAAAUCUCUGAAGAAAACAAAAUAUUUAAAAGAACCUGUAGAGGAUGCAGCUGGCUGACCAGCACACACACCAAACCCAUCAUCUCCUUCAACUUGUUUUCAGAGAGUUGGAAAAACUUCAAUAUUCAGGAAGGCAUCUAAGUUCUCUUGGCUUAAGCCAAGAAGUAACAAAGAAGAGAGGUACUGUUCCUGUUUUAAUUUUAAAAUACAGCUAGGACACAGCUCAGGAGCCCAUUUUGGAAAGCCAUAAUAUAUAACCCAAGGCUCCUACUAAGAUGGAUUACCCUGGUGUUGUUUGAUAUCUCUUCAAUGUCACAUUAUCAUUCCAAACUUAAGUGGCCCUUCAGACUUGCUUCUAUACCUACCAAGCUAUCAUGCCUAAUCUUCAAUUGUUUCCACAAACCCCCUUGAAAAUAUUCUCCUUAGAAGACCAAAUAUCUCUGUAAAGCUUUAGAAGUGAAUCCUGCCAAUUACUUUCUGUUUGUGUGGUCUGCUGGGAGUAAAUUUCAUAUUGGGUUACCAUCUAUGAGAUUUGAGAGUAAUGGGGUGGAGGGAUGUACUAAAACACACCACUGUUUUAACCACUGCCUAAAAUCCUAGAGACCUACUAGGUUUGCAAAUAUCCACCCUUUCUGAAACUGAUUAAUACCUCUUGCGGCAAUUACCUUCAGAAAGCAGGGAGAUUGAUGUAGUGAUAUGUUAGACUCUAAAAAAUGCAACCUAAAAUUGUUUGCAAAAAUAUACUUCUAAUAAUUUGGCCAAAAGUCUAACUAUUCAAAGAUUUUCUCCAUUCCAUGAAUGGAUAUACCUCUUUCAUGCCCUAGUCCAUGUCCAGUUCUCAGUUUGUAAGUGCCCUACUGUCACGAGCAAACACAGGAGCCACAAUGUGGCCAAAAAUGGCAAAAGGACAGGCCCACUGUUACACUGCACUUUCCUUUUCAUAUCCUUGCAAAAAGUAAGAUAAUCUCAGUAAUAUCAAGAUGAAAAGGCUUAAGGACCCUUCUGAAAUCCAUGAGGCAAAUCUAUCUGAACAGCCCAAACACCAAAGAAUCUAUUUAGACAAAAUAAAAAUGUAUCCCAUUUUGGCAAGGAAAAGCAACUGGCAUGAAUAUUGAAUGUGUUGAAAACUCUCACAUCAGUAUUAAAAUUCAACCAGAUAGUUCUUUAAAGAUGACUAGCUUCUGAAAUGGAAGCUAAAUUGUUGGAAUGUAUGUCCAAUUCUAGAUGGGUUCUCUUCUUUCAGGGACAGGAGAGCAAGGUUUUCUGCCCAUAGUUAAUUCUGAAGAUGAGCAAACAUUUUCUAAAAGACAUUUUCGCUAAAAGACUGACCAGACCACUCUAAACAAACAGAAAGGGAAUGAAUACAUCUCAAUCAAGAUCUGGUACUGACCAGUUUACCUAAAACAUUGCGCUUUCUUUGGAUGCCUUCCUGCACAACAGAAUCAGGCUUAAAAAGUGCUUUGUACAAAAUAGCAACCCUUGCCCAAAAGCUGGAUCUGUAACAAAGAAAUAAAACGUCUUCCGUCCAGGGAGCAAACCAGUCAGCUUAGUUCAUGCCACGAAUAUCUUUCUUAUGCAAAGAAAAGUAUGAACUCAUUGGUAAUGAAUUAUAAUAUUAACUUCCCUAUUUCUAUUCCAAUUUCAAUAGAACUACACCACCAAGGGAAUUAGCUAUAAUAAGAGAGAGAAAGGGGGCUAAAAAUUAGCUAUAAAUAUAUUAUGAGGAGGACAAAAAGAGUAGAUAGAAAAAAAUAAACUAAAUGGGGACACAAGGAAAUACAAAAUAUGGACUAAACUAUACAGAAAAAUGUGUAAAGUAAGAAGGAAGUUACUAGCUCCACCCUUCAUGAUCACUGAAACAUUCAGAGUCAAUCAUGGCCUGUCACACAUGCAACAUUUUUUUCAACAAACAGAAAAUGCUACUCUCAGCCACAGUCAAGUUCUUUGGAAAACCUGAAUGAAAAGUCUAAAGAAAUCUUUUAUUGCUCACUCUUUCAUCCUUGGAAAGAUAACAAUUGUUUGACUCAGCUCCUUGAGAGAGAAGAAACUAAUUUAUCUUUGUAAUUUCAGAGCCUAGUAGAGCACCCAGCACACAGUAGGCUCUUAAUACAUGCUUGGGAUGAUUGAGGCAUUUUCUUCCACCAUAUUCCAUGAUCUUCUAGCCCUGGGGGUGCAGAGAGAUUACCUGGCCAAGAAGACUAGGGGUAAAGUACUUUUCUUACCUGGUAAGUGGUUUGGGAGUUAGGAAAACAUGAUGUCUGGCCAACCCCUUUCCUAAAGGAGUUUAUGUAUCCCAAUGCCCCACCCACCACCCGCCUCCACCACACACCCAGCGUUUGUUGCUUGUAAUGGGUCAAUACAUCAAUGAAUUGAUGAAUUGUAAAGGAAAAAAAAUACAUGCUUGGAAAAUGAAUUUAACUAAACAAGAUUGAAUGUAGCCCAGCUCUUUACUCACAGAGCUUGAAGGCUCAACUCGCCACAACCCCCUGGGGAGAGAGGAAAGACAUGGCAUUAGUUCCAGCGCUGUUAGUGCUAGCUAUUGCAACAUCAGAAGUAUCAAAAUUCAACUGUCUGGUGCCAAUGGCAAAACCAAUGCUUACCAAAUACAUUAUAAUAAUAAAUAUAACUUUAUAGGUCUCACAGAUUUAUUUAUGUCUGCAACUCUAAACCUGCUCCCAGCCCCCAGUCUCCAGAAACCAAGCUAGCUGGCCUUUUGGAGAUGAAAAUAGCAUCAGGCAUCAAGGGUGUGCAUUUAUGAGCAGGACAGGAGGGUGGACUAGCACCUGAACCUUAAUGCAUUCCUUAAAAGUUUUCAAUGGGAGCAUGAGUCAGGGGUGCCACCUGGAGAGAACCGUUCUCAGUAAAAGAAGGACAAUGUUUACCUUCAACUACCCAAUUUUUUGCUUCCAGGAGAUGUAACACACAGAUUGCCUGUAACCAUGGCAAUCAGCUCAGCUGUGAGCACCCUCAUUUAUUCAAAGCACAGAGGCAGUAUAAGAGAGAAAAUACUAUUACAAAUAGGAACAAUAAGAUUUAAUGUCAGAUGCCAAAAUAUGAUUGGUUCAGUAUUUGAUUCCCAGCCAUAUGAAGCACAUUACACUUUCUUGGUUUCAUCUGCUCUUUCCUGAUCCUCAAGGGUAAUAUUAAUUUCAAUUUCUUCCAGAAACAAUGAUUGACUUGUUUCUAGCACUAUCUUGGGAGUGAAAUAAAAAUUUUGGAAAAAUACAUUCUCAGCAAUGCACUGUGUGCAACAGAGUUGAGAUAACCAUGCCAAAAACUAUAAGGAAAUGUCAACAUACACUUAAAAAAAUAACUUUUGAUGGAGUUUUUUUAGGGAGGUAUUCAACUUCUCGUGAAUAAGUAAUAAAGGAUGUAUACUAUAUACUGUAUUUACUGGUUCUUCUCCCUAAUUUCAGUCUCUUUACACUCCUGGAAGAAAAAAAGUAUUAUGGAGGCUACUUUACAAUCUUCUAAAAUAGAGUAACAGAAAACCUGUUCUUGAUUUUCAAGGAAAUUACUUAUAACUCAUCAAGUUACUAAACUUCAGUUAUUGCAAAAUUUAUUAACUGUAUCCUGAGAUUUCCACUGAUAAAACUCAACUAAUGUAUUUCACAGGUACACAAAUAUCCAAGAUUGGAAAGAAGAAAGAAAAUGACGACAGAAUUUUGCAGUCUACAAGGCAAACACUGCCAUUCAUGUAGUUAUGGAGUUCCUACUAUGUGCAGACAAUGGGAAACUUUACGAAGGAACCUCGACGUAGCCUGUUCCCAAUGCCCUCUGUGGAAUCAGCCAGGUCCAUGCCACAAGUAUGAAUUGUUUCCAGUGCGGCAGUCCUGGGAGUGCCUGAGCCACAAGCCAGUGUCCCCUACUCAGUUGUGCCCUGUGGGGACUGAAGCAGGACUAUAUUCUCACAGGCUCUCCUAAAAGCUGGGCUGCCAGCUUCUAGCUCUACUCCUUUCUCAAAGUGGCCCAGGCCAUCUCUCAGACCAAGGGUAAAUGCUAUGCCAGUUCCACCUGUUGUCUUUGUGUGCAUAAAUCUCAUUCUUUGUGCUUUAUCUCAAAAAAAAAAUCAACUCAUAGGAUUAUAAUCUCCUGAAGAGAUUCCACAGCCCACCAGUCCUACAAAGUCAGACAUAGAGGGCCAGUUUAGGCAUAUAUAUAUAUACACACACACACACACACACACACACAUUUAUAUAUAAACAUAUAUAUGUAAACUCUACAUGUGUGUGCAUAUAUAUAUACAUACACAUAUAGAGAGAGUUUAUGUUUAUAUAUACAUAUAAAUUAUAUAUAGAAUUUCUAUAGAAAUACAAACUAUAUAUAGAAUUUAUAUAGACAUAUAUAAAUGAUAUGUCUAUAUAAACAUAUAUAUGAACUCUGUCUCUCUCUAUAUAUAUAUAUUUUAUAUAUAUAUUAUAUAUAUAUAUUUUAUAUAUAUGUAUUUUAUAUAUAUAUAUAUAAAACUCAUGUUAUAUAUGACAAAUCCCAUAUAUAAUAAAUCAGUGGUGGGGUAUGGUAAUUCAAAAAAAUGAAUAUGGUUUCAGAUGGAAAUUAAUUUAUAUGGCCAAGACUGUUAAUUAGGCUUUUGUUGCCUUUAACCUAAGAGUAAGGCCAGCAUCUGUGGUUAUGAGCAAAUACUUAAGGCUAUGGUAGCUGCAAACACUUGCAGCCCUGGGUCGAAGGACAAAGGCUAGAAUAAAUUCCCUACCAAACGCUCAGAAGUGAUAUUAUGCAAAGAAGAUGUAUAUUUUAAUAAAUAUUUGUGGAAUGCCUAUUACUUGCCAGGAACUAAGGACACAAAAGGAAUUAAAGCACCAGGUCAGUCCCAAAACAGCAUGAAAUUUGCACCCAGGCAGAUCUGGGUUCAAGCCCUAGUUCUGUCCCUUGCUAUUGCUUCUUCUAUGACCUUAAGAAUCUUCAAGAUGGAGUUCUCAAGAGGCACAAGUAUGACAGUGUACAUGGAAUUACUUGCCAUUAGCACAGAUGUUUGUCGUGUAUUCAUUUAUGAGUAAAUAAUUAUUGAGUGACAACUAUAUCCCAGGCAUUGUUCCAAGAAUUAGAGUUACAGCAGUAGACAAGAAAGAAUGUCUCAUAAUAAUGAAAUGAAGCUAACUUUAUUACAUUUAUAUCACAGUGAAAUCAACCAGGUCAAAGGAAAUGAUUCUUACCCUGUGUCACUCCAAAAGAUCUUAUCCAAAAUAAAAUGAUGUAUUUUUUAAUUUCCAAAAAUAGAUUAAAUUAAGUUGAGGUCUCUACCUGUACAGUGGCAGGAGAGAUGAAUCAGCACCUUAACAAUUUAUUUUGCUCACCUCCUCCUUCAUUCUGUUCUCUACUCUUUCCCUCAAUUGGUAGUUUUUGUCCCUGGAUGGCCUCUCCUCACACUUUUGUGUGGACAGACAUGAAUGUUCAGUUUUGUGUGUAGUGUGUGUGUGUGUGUGAGAGAGAGAGAGAGAGAGAAAGAUAACUGAGAGUGUGCACGUGUGUCUGCAAGAACAAUGGUAGAAAUCCAUGAUCCUUUGAAGAAAUUUAACCUGGGUUAAUUACUCAAAAUCCUUAUAUUCAGAACCUUCCAUAUUGAAGCUUCCCUGAUCUUUCUCUGCUCCAAUAGCUCAUAGCAAUGCCUGAAUGCUUUGUUUCUUAAAGAGGAGUUUAUAUUUAUAGAGAAGUUGUAAAGAGUCUCCAUAUACCUGCACCUAAUUCCCCUGUUAUCAGGAAUUUGCACUAGUAUGGCACAUUUGUUAUCAUUAAUGAACCAAAACGGAUAUUAUUAUUGGCUAAAGUUCAUGCUUCAUCUAGGUUUCCCAACUUCCCUGAGGUCCUUUUCUUGUGCCAGAAUCCCAUCCAGGAGACCACAUUACAUUUAGUCCUCAUGACUCUUAGACUCUUCUUCUUGGCUGUGAUAGUUUCUCAAACUUUUCUUGAUUUUGAUGACCCUGACAGUUUGAGAAGUAUUGGUCAGAAAUUUUUGUAGAAUGUCUACUGGUUGGAAUUUGUCUGGGGUUUUUCUCAUGAUGAAACUGAGGUCAUGGGUUUUUGGGAGGAAGACCACAGAGGCAAAGUGCCAUUCUCUUCCCAUCAUACCAAAGGUACAGGCUAUCAACAUGACUAACUUAUCAUUAUUGAUUUUUACCAUGAACACCAGGCUGAGAUAGUCUGAACAUCCUUUUUAACAGAGAUUUUUACCAAUUAUUAUAUUUGUAUUCCCAAACUGCUUCAAAGAUAUUUAUCAAGAAAUCUCAAAAUAGCCUCUUAUUUUUACCUAAAAUUCAUUCAUCCCUUAAUUUUCACUGAGAAAAUAUAUUGAGUCUACUAUCAAAUGCCAGGCACUGAGGAUACAGGCAUAAAUAAAACAUGUUCCUACUUUCAAGAGCUCAUGGCCCAGUCUAAUGCAAGAGAGACUUGUAAAAAUGUAAAGAAGGAUCCAAUGAGUUAAGGGACACUGUUUAAGGAAUAAAAGGAACCCUGAGAGGUAUAGUUAUCAUUUCCGUGAGGAGCUAGGAGGAGGGAAAAUCUCCUUCCUAGAGAAAGGGACUCCUAAGCUGAUCUUGAAAGGUACAUAGGAUUCUGCCAAGCAGAAGAGAAAUCAUGUGCAAAGCAGGUGUGUGUUCAUGAAAGCUGGUUUUAGAGAAGUGGCGGGGAAGGAGGAUGAAGUGGUAGGUAGAGAUCGUGGAGAGCCCAGUUUGCAUUUUGAAUUGUGUGGCUCUCAGGCUGCUAGAGUCAAAGUAUUAGAAGGUAAAGGCAGGCUUCUAGCAGGUUCCACAUCUGAAGCAGGAGUAAUAGUUGGUCAAGUAGUCUUCCCUGAAGGCUUGGAGACAGGGCACUAGAGUAGCACACCUCUAUACACAGAUAGGAUCUGUGCCUCAGCUCUGGCACAGAUUUCUCUCUCUCUCUCUCUCUAACACACACACACACACGCACACGCACACACACAAACAUACACACACACAGAGGGAGAGACAUAUUUGCCACAUAUCCAUUCUCUAAGAGCUGCCAACCCAGACUGACAAAUCUUUAGAAUUUACUACUUUGUCUCUUUUUUCUACACCUUGGCAGUGGAUGGAGCAGCAUCAGCCAUGGCUCAGGAAUGCAGCCGCCUACUUUCCUGUUAUCAGCAGGCAUUCCUGUGGUUACACUAUUCCUGCUUAGCUUAUCAAUGGCCCUUGGGAACACAGAGUCAGCACCCAAAGAGGGCCAGAACAGCCUGCUUGUUGGACGCCCAUCCACACCAUGAGGCUUUCCUGGAUGUAGAGGGAAGUUACUGUUCCUCGGGAAAACCCCUCUUCCCAGCUGGUAUGAAUGCUUUAGCUUAAGAAUCUGCCUCAUGUGUUUCAUACUCAGAGACACGACCCCCUAAUCUUUAUGUGUGAAAACUUCCCGUUGAUACCAAAAGGAGCUUUUCCUAGGAUAUCACUGACCCAGGGUAAGACACAGUGAGUGAAGUCUGUGCAUUUUGUUAGAAGAUUAAAUAUCCAUUAUAUCCCCCCAUAUUCUUCCUCACCCCAACAUAUCUCUUUGUCUCCAAGUUUUAGAACUUCUAGAAUAUAAAAUAUAAUGUAUGAUAUAUAGUCAUAUAACAUCUAGUAUUCCCUCAAUAGCAUUCCAUCAUCAGAAUAAAGUACAAAAUCUGCCAUCCAUCAUGAGAGACCUUUUAGGAUCAGGAUGCUGCCCUGCUCUCUAGCCUCAUCUGUCCUCACUACCUGCUUGGCCAUUGAUGCUCCAUCUUCCUGAACUACACCCCAGAAACUCAGCAAUCAGGCCAUGUUCUCUCUUAUAGCAUUGCUUUUGACAUGCUGGUCUCUCUGCUUGGGUUCCUUUCUUUUUGGGAUUUUUCCAUCCAUCUUUGUCUGGCUAACUCCUGAUCUGCCUGCACCAUCUUUCGGAACUUUGAGAUGGGUGCCCCUCAUUUGUGCUAUCUUUGCUUAUUCUUGAAGCACCUUAGGCUUCCUCUCUCAUGACGUAUCUAAGUGGCCUGCAGUGGUCUACCUCUUCAACCUCACUCCCUGGGACCAUAUCUUAUUGCAGAGGGAUGUGACUGAGUGCAGCAGGCCAGUCAUCCUUCUGCUCUACCAUGCACAGGGCAUGGCCGUUUCUUCCUCGUGCUUGCUACCCCAUGAUUGCAAGAUGGUUGCUGUACUUCAAAGAAUCACAUCCUCACUUCAGGGUCUCAAGCAGGAAGGAAGGGGGCUAUGUUUUCUUUUUAAUCAAGGAGGAAAAAAGAAGCCCCAGGAAGAAUUCCUCUAUGCCAUAUUGGCCAGAACUGAGUCAUAUGGCCAUGUCUUGCUGAAAAGAAGGCUAAAUAGCAAGUAUCUGGCAAAGCAGAAAGAAUUGUCACAAUGGGUUGGAUCAUGAUUCAUGAGCUGGUACAUAGCCCACUGAGGCAAACUCGGGAUUUUGUUAGGCAGAAAGAGGUUAUAGCUUUUGACCUGUCAAGUAAUAGUAUCUACCACAUUGAAUUCCACUUUAGAAAACAUAGAUACAAAACACACUCCUGAAGAUUGCACCAACAGGAGGCAAAAUUUAAGGAGCAAGAGAAACUAUACAUGUAAGUGAUAAAAUAGUAAUAUUUAUCUGUUGGGACUCAAAUAGGUGUUUUGUCCCAGAAUUAUCUCAAUUCAUCAAGACUUCUUUGAAACUCCUUGCCCAUGCUUAGCCAUUUAUUCUAGGUAGAACAGUAAACGAAUCUCCAUUCUUAGAAAAGGUGGGCCUAGCUUCAUAGAACCGCACACAGCCCUAUUAUGUAAUAUAGCUUGGAAACUGUAUGAGCUAGUAAGUUUGAUUUGAUAUGUUUGAAAGUUUGGCAAAGCCUUAGUGAUAGGUUUGGGCAAAAAAAAGAUGAAACUCCAUAAUUAUUGUUUCCAUUAGCUAAAUCCAUCAGCUGCAGAUUUGGAGAAUACUUGUUUCAGGUAUUUGGUGAGCGACUCUCUUCUCUGAAGGUAUUCAAUCCCAAAGUGCACAUCAAAUCAUUUCCACUAAAACGCAUAAAGGUCUUGGUCAAAUGUGACUCAUGUGUAUUUAUCUUAUCCUUUUGCUGAAAUGAUUUCACCCAAACUUAAAAUAGAUAGAGGUUAGUUGACUCAGAAAAUUAGUGCACAGGAUGAAUAAAGAUAGUAUCAUGAGCUGGACAUCCAUCAGGUCAAUGCAUACUGCUCACUGAUAGCUUCCCCACCAACCUCUGUACUAUACCAUCACUGUUUUGCUAUCCUUCAUCCAUCUGCUAUGGAUGUAUCAUUUUUUGGUCCUCAGGCUAACAAUUUUCAUAGGAUUUAGGAUAGAAGUCAAAAUCGGAGUGUGCCAGAAAGUGAGGAUUAAAGGACGCAGGUCUCCAGGAUUUGUUCUCUCAUGGAAAGAACCCAAAAACCUGUCUCUGAAUUUGCUUCUUCCCUGCAAAGUAAAACAGGAUCAGGCCCUGGUCCCAGUUAGGAAUAUGUGCCCCCUCUAUCCCCUAUCCCCUUAGAAGCCAAGUGGGAACCAGAAAGAGGCAGUGGGAAAGGAGGAACCUGGGACAGCUUCCAGUCUAAGUAGGUGUUUGGGGAUUCUCCACGAGGUCCAGGUUAGAUCCCCAAGGAAAUGCACAGAACUACUGGUCAAAGACACAGAUAAUAGUAAAGUGCUUGUGUUUGCCACACAUUCUCUUCUGUGCAUAUGUAUUCCUUGGAGGUUUUUCAGGGAAGUGUGGUAGGCCAAGGAUGGGAUCUGAGAGUUUCUAGAUCACCUAACUAAUUACCAUUUCCUACUUUUUCAACCAUUUAUUUCCAGCUCGUUCCUCCUACAAAGCCAGUAAUCUGGCGCUGUAUACCCUUGAUUAUAGCAGGGAAAGACUACAAAGCAUUCUGAUGUAAAGACACAUGCACAGAUAAUGUAGUAAAAAGAAUAUAGAUUAGCAACACAUAGGUCUGGGUUUAAAUCUCAGUACAGCUGCUUUUUCAUUCUGUGACCUUGGGUAAUUUAUAUAUUAGCCUCUCUGAGCCUCAGUUCCCUUACUGAGUCAGUAACACUUACCUCAGGGAGUUAGUAUGAGGAUUAAAUGUAUAAAUGAAAUAAUUAACCACUUAUAAAAUGUGCCAGACAUCUAAUGUGUGUUCAACAAGUCUUAAUCUCUUAAGUGAACAUUCUUACUAGAAAACUAACUCACAACUCUAUUGAUGGUAAGCAAUAGAAAGGUAUUCCUAUAAAAAGACACUCAUCUUAUUUAUACAUAAACAAUAGGAAAAGAUGGCGACAAUGACCUUGCAUUUCUAGGCUAGUUUUGUCACCAUAAUAUAAAUUAAUUGAAACAGACAAACUACAUUAACCAAGUAUUUAUUGUUUUUAUUUCAGGGUUUUAAAAAGCAGCAGGUUUAAGAGCUGACCAUAUCUGAAAGACUCUAGAAUAGCAGAGGAUUGAUUAAAGGUCUGUGGCCACAGAUUGGAUGUGUUGAUUUUAUUUCCCCAAAGGUAUCCACAUAGCAACUUGGCAGUACACACAUAUCCCAAAUAUAUGUACACAGUGUUUACAGAAAAUACUAAUUGUACCCUUACCUAAAAUGUUAGGUCCCAUUUUCAUUUUAAAGACUCAUUAUGCUUUUCAUGAACUAACACUUUUGUUCAUUUCAAUUCUGUCAUGAAUUCGAAAGAAGGACACAGCAAAUAGGUACUUAACUAAAGUAAGUGCUUUCUCCCAUGGUUUUAUCAAUCCAAGUCUAUGGACAUAAUACAGAAUCAAGAAUCCAAGGAAACUGCUCUGAAUUUCACUGUAAGCAUAGCUCAUUUUUUUGACCUGUUGAUUGCAGUUAAUUUAACGUCACGACCUGCACCUCAGAAUCUCUCAUGUCCCCUGCAGCUUUGUCAAGAUGCUUUGUAUAUAGCUGGUACCCAGAGAAGGUUUGCCACAUUGCACGGAGUUGAUCACCCAUUUUAUUCACUGGAUUUGGCUUUGAGCAACUUACACUUUUUUCUCUCCAAAAAUUAAGUCCACCCACGAAGGAAAAAGGCAGAAGGAUGCUGUGGCAAAAAUGCUAUCCUGGAAAACAGAUCUUGGCCCUGGUCCCAGCUCUCUGUGACUUUGGACACAUCAGUUGAUCUUUUUAGAUCAAAUUUCCCCAUAAAAGGGGGUACUAGACAAGAUGCAUGUGCCAGACUGCCAAGGCCAAGGCACACCCUAAGCCACUCAUAGUAAUAUCCCUGGAACUGUAGACCCUUGCAGAGAGAUUAUAGAAGUGAUUUUGAAUAAUUAUUGAGUUAAGUGCUAGCAUUCCAGCAUGACCGCUUCAAAAGAGGUAAUGCAUAUUUUUUUUUGUAUUUUUUUGGCUUUUUUUAAAGUUACAUUACUUUAGUGUUAUAUGUCAUAUAGUCAUUAGGAAUUCCAAGAGAGCAAAUGUCAACAAAGGUCUGAAGUUGUUUGGCAUUUUAUCAAUCAUUAUUUAGAGUUUUCUUUUUUUCUUUUUUUUUUCUUAAUGUGGUUAGGGACACAGAGGUUCAUGUGAUGUAAUAAGAAAGAAAUAAAGGAAGCUUUAUCUGCCGCUCUUUCAACCUCAUCCACUCAACACUUACCCCGUGACAGACCCCAAUACUCUUAAUGAAUUCCCAAGGUUACGAAAGAACUUGGAAGAUCUUACAUUCCUACAUGGUGAUUACAGAGGCUCACAUUUUGCCAAGUCAUAUGCAGGUGGCUGAAAAGUAAGUUUACUUUAUCUGCAUUUCAUAUUACACUUGUUCUUUCUUAUGAAUGUUUCUUUCAUAGUCAUGCAAAGUACUCAAUCAGUAAUUCCCCACCAAAAUGGUUGUUACAUAAGCGGCCGUGCAACAAUGCAUAUGUCAGCUCAGAUUCAUGUCAGAGAAAGUUCUCUAGUUUAUAUAACUCACUCCCCAGCAGCCAGUACACAGUUCAAAAAGUGUGGGCCUUUACAUUAUGGCGGGAGGGAGGUUAUUUUGUUUUGUUUGUUUUUUUUUAACACAUCACAUAAAUACACUUCCUUUCUCCUUUGUAACGUAUGGGAUACAUGGAAUUCCUAACUCACACAGAUCUCACUGUAGACCCAAUGAAUGGCACGGAGCCGACACAAACACCCACACACUUGUCUCAGUUACAGAUCUCUGCUAAAGACCAGAAGUUGGCCAUUACUAUGAAUAUACACUUCUGUUGGAUUUCUAUGGUAUUUGGUUUCAUUAGAUUGUAUGUUAAGUUAAAUAUGUUUUUUAAAGUUUCAUUCUCCUACCUCAAGUUACGGUGCAUCAAGGGGUCUCAGAGAGAAGUGGAGCUGCCACCUCAAUGUCCCGACCCCAGAGAGGAGCCUCUCAAGCCACCCCAAGGCAGCUGAGCCCCAGCUCGCACCAGAUCACUGUGGAGCAGAACCAAUUUUUAAAUGUCUUCAUCUGGUCCCUCCUACUUUUAUGGUGCUCUGGGGGUGGUGAGAAUCGGGAUGCACUGAAAGCUGCUGGGACAUCUGACUCUUUAUUUUCUUGGCUCUACGUGUCUUAACUCUGCACCAAUCCUCCCGACUGUGCAGAAUUUCACUUUGGAGAGCAGAGGCAAACGGAGAUUCACACAGAGGGGCAGGAGCCGUCAAUGCUGUCUAGUGAGAGGAGAGAAGAGGCAUUGUAAGUCCCCAUAGCACUGCUGUUGGGCUACCCUGCCAGUCAAUGCCACUUUUCCCACAGGCUCCAGCCUCAACUUCCCCUGGUGCAAUAUGAUGAUGGGAAGAAGGGCUCCUAAGAGGAAACUGAUUUAAGUAUCUCUGUUUUUCAGAAAACACUUCCAAUUGCUCUCUCAAGAAUGCGUUUCUAUUUCAUGAGUUGAUGUCAUAUUUUUAGGGGGAGGGAUGUAUGGAGAGAGAAAACUUUCAAAUAUCUGGAAAUCAGUGGUAUGAUGAGCCCUGUUCUCUGCUGCUCCAAGUACAAUACCAAAGCAUGUGGUGGAAGUGAUGGGACAGAUUUGGUUCCAUAUUAGAACUUCCUACUUGUAUGUUGAAUUUUAACGGAUGGCUGGGAGUAACAUCCACUUUACGGAGGUAUAUAAGCAAGCUCCAGACAGUAACUUGGUAUGGAGACUAUGCCAAGGAUCCCAUUGUCAGAAGGGAAGUAUGGUGUUGGGGAAGGAUAUUUCUCCCUCCCCUCCCCAUAGUGCCAUCCUCUGCUUAUAGAGGAGGAAAUAGCUACCCAAGCUUUAGCCCCUCCCGCUGCCCUAUGGAAGGAAUACAUUCCACUCUGAACUAAAGCUGGCAUCUUUGGUGCCACAUUUUAACAGAGGGUCGAGUUACUGUAUCUUGAGAAAGACAUGGGUACGUCAUGCUUCCUUCCACUAUCUGUACCCACUCAAAGUGAAUCGUUCCCCACUGUUCUCUUUAAAUUUUUGCUUCAUGUAGCAGAGAUUCAGGGUCUCGCUCCCCUUCUCCUCCUGACACAAAAGGCAGUCAGACUGAACAGUGGGAUAAGCCCUGAAGAUGGCUGGGAACAGCCACCGGUGGAAAGGGAACCCUUCUUUGCUGCCUUUCUCAUUGCCCCAGCACUGCUAAGUGCAGCAGAUUGGCCUUUUUCACAUUGCAGGGAUGAGAUCCUCAGGAUUUGAGAGGGUUCAUCUGGCUUCCAGGAUUAAACUGUGUUUUCAAAUCGAUCUUUUGACAAAGCCCAACAAUAGAGUUAUUUCUGUUUACCCAUGCAUUUCUAUUAACCCAAGGUGGUGCCUCCUUUCCCACUCAGCUAUCAAUCUUUGUAUGUAUAAUCAAACCCCCAAAUAUAUCUCCAACCAAACUUUCACAACUACAGUGGCACACUCACACAGAGUGAUCUAAAUGGAACACGGGUUUUCUAUAACCACAACCAAACCAUAAACGGCAUUUUAUAUACAUUAUCAUCCAGAAAGCAAUCAGAUUUUUUCAUAGCAAAUGGUAAGAUAUAAUAAAAGGAAAUUUGAGAAUUAUCAUAUAACUUAUAAUGUCUCUUUUAGCCCUAAGGUCCUAAGAUUCAGUGACAUGUGGUGUUUUCUCUUUUUCCUACCACUUUUUCAGCUUAAUUAUUAUCUACAGAGAUUAAAAACACAACUAAAAUUUCUGCAGAUUCACAGUGCUAUUUCAGAAUAGAUUUUACCCCUUAGUACCUUCUAUUUAAUCAAUUAAUGAGAAUACUUUGGAGCCCACUGCAGAAACUAUAAAUUCCAAAUGGUUCCUCAGAACAUGUCAUCAUCAAACCAGUUAGGCUGGCGUUGGUAAAUACCACAGCCUGCAGUUGCCAUGUGUUACAAAAACAAUAAACAGAUACCCUUCAUACCUCUCCCUUCCCUAAAACAAUUAUUCCUAUAAAAGUCUGUCUCUCCAGAUUUUUUGUUGUGGUGUUUCUGAUACCAGUACAAUCAGAAAGUAAUGAAAGUGUUCACUGAAAGGAAGUUUUCACUGAGCAUUGCAGGCCAAUGAGAAUGCAGAUUAACUCAAAUAAACUUUGGAAUGCCAGCCAAACCCAUGAAACUUGUCAGCAGUUCAUCUACUGAGAGUGGUUAUGCUUUUUCAGUAGUACCUUAUCCUGAAAUAACCUGAUGGAAAAGCCAGUGUCGGAUGACACAUGACAUCAAGUGUUCAAUGCAAAUUCUGCUGGCAUACUAUCCUGUUUGACUCCCUUGCUCUUGAGCCUUCCACAGUUGGUAAUAAGGAACUGAGUACCUUUGCAAUCUCCAGUAAAACAUGUGUGAUGGAAAUGUAAUUCCUUAGGGAAGCAAUUCCCAAUGGCAUACAUAGAUUUGAUUUUUGGGUUGAAAAGUAGUAAAUGACGAAUUGAAGUUUCUUUUUCUCUACUUAAAAACUAUUCUUGACAUUAAUUUUACUUGUAUUUGUUAACCAGUUUACAUUUUAUUUUGUUACUGAGACACUCAAAAGUGUCUAUAUUUUAGUCAAAGCUAAAACUGAAAGACUUUAGCAAAUUGACUUUUCUCUUUCUCCCAACAAACAUUAACUCAGUAUUUUACCUAGCUUUAUUUUCAAAUAUGGAGUUUUAUAGCACCUUGAUUUAUAGCUGGGCGUAAGAAAAGGUUAUGUCAGCAUUUACAUUAUAAGGCCAUGGUUUUGUGGUUUAUAACUAAGCCAUAAAAAUAAUUCUGACUAAAAUUUGGAAUGCCAGUUUCCACCUUGAAACGCAAGUGUGUCCCUAGCUGUAUGACCACACACACACACACACACACACACACACACAUCAGAAUUCAACAACUGCUGUUUUGUAUAAUACAUUUAUUCAAUAUAUUGCUUUGAUUAAAAAUGAACUCAAAGAAAGUCAAGGCUAUGAAGUGAAUUCAAACAAAGCUGUCAUCUAAUGGUAACAACUUAUAUCCUAAGAUAUAUUUUAGUAGAUUUGAAAGUUGAUUUAAUGACAAAAGAAUUUACUGUAUAGUUUUCAUAGUUAAAGAAUAAAGGACAGAAAGAUGAAGUGAGACCUCCACACACAAAAAAAUAGCCUUUUCUUAAUAAGAAAUGUUUGCAACAUUCUUCCACGCUGUAUGGUAGAUAUUCUCUGAAUCUCUUUGCAGAUGUGAUCUAACGUCCUUGAACACAUUUAUUACAAUCCAUCAUCUACAUGGCAACAGUCAGGGCCAUGCUCAUAAACCAGAACUGGUGCUAGAUCUGGUAAGUCAUUAAGCAAACAUAUUCCUGUGUUGUGCGUGGCGUGCAUGCCCACUGCCUGCCUAUAAAACGGAAAUAAGAUUUCUGAUUUGCAAAUUACCUCCUAAGACAUGUAAAGCUAGCUCCUUUAAUCCACAUUACUCAUUUUUGUAUUUUGACUGUUUCAAAUGCUAAAACAGACCUGAAUACAGUUUCCACAGUUCUCUUUAUAAUUAUUGUAUUUUUCAUUUACAUGAUCAUGAAACCUGUUAGCAAGUGAGAAACAGAAUCAUUUUCACUGAGACAAAAAAUAUUGAGAAUUAGGGGGAGAAACUCUGAAGCAAUAUAAACAACAGAGUCUAAUCUUAUCAAAGAGAGAAGGCAGUUGGUGAAUCUGAAAGAUCACUUACUUACCACUCAAUCAUAGAACUUAUACCCCCAAAUAGGAUUUAAGAAAGAAAAAAGCAAUUUAGUAGGAACUGGAAGUUAUAGGGCAUAGGUCUGCUUUAGUUGGUGACAAAAAUUAUGCCUCAGAGGUUAAGAGCAUGGAUUAGGGUGCUGGGUUGCCUGGUUUAAAUCCUAGCUCUGGCACUUACUACUGCAUGGUCCUUGACCAGUUAUUUAACUACUCUGUGCCUCGGCUUCCCAGUGUGGAAAGCAGAAAAACAGUAUCUCCCUUACAGAGAGGCUUUAAAGUUUAAAUGCAUUAACAAAGGGAAAAUCCUUUCAAUGUUGACACAUCAUGAGUGUGACAUAAGUAUUACCUAUUAUUUUUAUUAUGUGACCAAAUGUGGAAGAAAAAUUCUAUAAGAAAGUAGUAACAUUGUUUAGUCUUUCAAAAAUCAUAUAUUCUCCUCCAAUCCUGGCUCUCUGCAAUUCAAGAAAUCCUAACAAAUAGAAAACCUUUGUACACAGGAGAAAACGGAGAUGAGCAAAGGCAAUAUUUGGCUUAUUUGUUAUAACCCUAAUAAAACAAGACUGCUUGAAGAAAUAGACCAAAUUGUGGAAUGUUUAACAUUGAUCCAGGACUGGCUCUUCUGAGGAAAAGAUAUAAUAUUUAUCAUGUGGCCAAUUUUGUCUGUGAAGAUAAGGAGGAACUAAUCGGUCUCAACUUCAUGAUGUUGCUUAAAGGAGCAUAUAAAUGUACGAUCAUAAGUAUCCUUUAAAUGAAGGGGUUGGUUUUAUGACUGCAGAAGUGAGAAAGAGUAAGGUCAUUUAGCCUGAGCAACACAGCAAAACCUUGUCUCUACUAAAAAUUAAACAAAACAACCAAAAAAUCACUCAGGUGUGGUGGCGCAUGCCUGUGGUCCCAACUACUCAGGAGGCUGAGGUGGGAGGAUUGCUUGAGCCUGAGAGGUGGAGGUUGCAGUGAGCCUUGAUUGCGCCACAGCACUCUAGCCUGGGUGACAGAGCAAGACUGUCAAAAAAGGAAAGAAAAGAAAGAAAAGAAAAAGAAAGAAACUAAAACAGAAAGAAAAGAAAGAAAGAAUGGGAGAGAGAGAGGAAGGAAGGAAGGAAGGAGAAAGAAGA
rnacentral:lncRNA from 1 species